AAUUCAAUAGUUUAUUUAAAACAUCAAAUUGCAAAUUUGAAGAAGUCUAAUUCUUGAAUUA
rnacentral:tRNA from 1 species